rnacentral:rRNA from 1 species
UACGAAGGGUGCAAGCGUUAUCCGGAUUCAUUGGGUUUAAAGGGUGCGUAGGCGGGGCGAUAAGUCAGUGGUGAAAUCCUGCAGCUCAACUGUAGAAUUGCCAUUGAUACUGUCGUUCUUGAGUACGCUCGACGUAGGCGGAAUGUGCCGUGUAGCGGUGAAAUGCAUAGAUACAAUCAAGAACACCGAUUGCGUAGGCAGCUUACUAGGCUGUAACUGACGCUGAGGCACGAAAGCGUGGGGAGCGAACAGG